rnacentral:rRNA from 1 species
AUUGAACGCUGGCGGCAUGCUUUACACAUGCAAGUCGAACGGUAACAGGGUGCUUGCACCGCUGACGAGUGGCGAACGGGUGAGUAAUGCGUCGGAACGUGCCGAGUAGUGGGGGAUAACGCAGCGAAAGUUGUGCUAAUACCGCAUACGUACUGAGGUAGAAAGUGGGGGACCUGCGGGCCUCACGCUAUUCGAGCGGCCGACGUCUGAUUAGGUAGUAGGUGAGGUAAAGGCUCACCUAGGCGACGAUCAGUAGCGGGUCUGAGAGGAUGAUCCGCCACACUGGGACUGAGACACGGCCCAGACUCCUACGGGAGGCAGCAGUGGGGAAUUUUGGACAAUGGGCGAAAGCCUGAUCCAGCCAUGCCGCGUGUCUGAAGAAGGCCUUCGGGUUGUAAAGGACUUUUGUCAGGGAGGAAAUCCCUAGCGUUAAUACCGCUGGGGGAUGACAGUACCUGAAGAAUAAGCACCGGCUAACUACGUGCCAGCCGCCGCUGUAACAC